AUAUUCGCCUAAUCGCCUGAGUGCCGCUGCGUCAGAAGGGCACCUGAGAGAGUUGACGUCUUCCGCUUCCUUCUCUUUCAAAGUAUCUUUCCGGCGCACUAGUCUUGCCGCACAACAUCGGCAGCUGCUACGGCUGACGUUGUCUGCGGUAGAUGGAUCGCGGCUACCCACGACGGCGCGAGGGUGGCGCCAGCUUCGGCGGCGGCGGGUUUGGCGGUGUUGGUGGAUUCAGUGGCGGCUUUGGCGGCCCCCCGGCUGGCGGACCAGGCGACCCUCCGGUCGGCGGACCAGGCGGCCCGCGGCGGCGCUUUCGUAGCGAUUUCGACCCCGAGGAAUAUGCGCCGCGUCGCAAACUGCACGGCCAGCGACCGGUGGACUUCUACUCGCCUGCCAUCCGGCACGUCCUCACACGUCUGGUGCCGCGCAGCACACCGUACAGCUACCACGUUGCGCCGCACGAGUAUUACACAAAGGACCUUGUCACGGCGAGUGUAACCAACUACAAUGCGAGCACGGCGCUGUGCACGCAGUGGGUGAACACCUCGUACCACCCGGACAGCAAAGGCGGCCGCAUCCGCACGCCACUCUACGCCCUGCAGUGGUCGCCGAGCGGGCGCCGUCUGCUGUGCUCCACCGGACGCGGCGAGUUCCUGCUGUUCAACGGGCAGUCCUUUGGCGUGGAGGUGAAGACGGUGGCUCACGAGGACAACCGCCCGUGCCGCGCCAUCGCGUGGGGCCGUCGCCACGACCUCAUCCUCAGCGGCGAUGACGCCGGAAAGCUCAAGAUGUGGAUGUCCAACUUUGUUUUCAUGUCAGAGGUCGACACGAGCCACCGCGCCGUGCGCGAGAUCUCGUGGGCGCCUCUGGAGCUAAAGUUCUGCACGGCUGGCCAGGAUGGGUCGGCGAAGGUGUGGGACACGAACACGGUUGGCGCACACACCGCCACUACCGGCGCGAGCGAUGGCAAUCAGGCCGUGCUGGAGGAGGUGAAGCUUGAGGGCCACGGCGGUGAUGUGACGACGGCGCACUGGCACCCCUAUCGAGCUCUCAUUGCCACCGGCAGUCAGGACACGCAGUGCCGACUGUGGGACCCCCGCACAGCUUCUCGCGGCAGCAUCGCGGCCUUGCACGGCCACAGCCAGGCGCUGACGUGCGUGCGGUGGCACCCGGAUGGAAGGACGCUGCUGAGCGCGUCGAAGGAUGGGACGGUGAAGUUGUGGGACAUACGCAAGACGCAGCCUGAGGUGAAGCGUUUCACUGGGCACACGGACGCUGUAGAUAAGGUUGACUGGCACCCGACGGUAUCGGACCUGUUUGCGAGCACAGGGGCAGACGGAAGCGUGAUGUACUGGAUGGUAGCCGAGGGAGACGGCACCAUGACCCAUGGCGUGGAGGAGGUCGUCCACGACGCGGCGAUGAUCGAGGCGGCUCAUGAGAAGUUUCGCGACAAGCCAAACCCGGUGCACUGUGUUGCCUGGUCUCCGCUGGGCAACAUCCUCGCGUCUAGCGGCCAUGAGGUCAAGUACUGGACUCGCAACAAACCAGGCGCGCUGGAAGAGAAGGAGCGCGGCGUCGAGAGCGACAUACUGGACGAGCAAGGCCAAGUGAUGGUGUGAUGAGAGUACUGAACGGUGGCGCUGGUGGUGCCGGUGGGGGAAGGGGCGUGGCGUCAGUAGUAUGCACACGACAGGUGCUCACUCUUUCCCUCUAAUGGGCGGCGACAUAAAAAGUAGCUUUUGAGACCUCAGCGGCAGCGGUGAUGGCCGGCCACACG
rnacentral:misc_RNA from 1 species